rnacentral:rRNA from 1 species
CCCUUAGAUGUUCUGGGCCGCACGCGCGCUACACUGACGGAUUCAACGAGCUUACAACCUUGGCCGAAAGGUCUGGGUAAUCUCCAAAAUCCGUCGUGAUGGGGAUAGAUUAUUGCAAUUAUUAAUCUUCAACGAGGAAUGCCUAGUAAGCGCAAGUCAUCAGCUUGCGUUGAUUACGUCCCUGCCCUUUGUACACACCGCCCGUCGCUCCUACCGAUUGAAUGGUCCGGUGAAGCGUUUGGACUAUGGUUUUCUGAUGGUCCGCCGUUGGAUUACCGUGGCAAGUUCGUUAAACCUUAUCAUUUAGAGGAAGGAGAAGUCGUAACA